UACAGAGGGUGCAAACGUUGCUCGGAAUCAUUGGGCGUAAAGCGCACGUAGGCGGUCCGACAAGUGGGGAGUGAAAGCCCUCGGCUUAACCGAGGAUGUGCUUUCCAAACUGCCGGACUUGAGUACGCAAGAGGAUCGCGGAAUUCCCAGUGUAGAGGUGAAAUUCGUAGAUAUUGGGAAGAACACCGGUGGCGAAGGCGGUUAGCUGGGCAGUUGCUGACACUGAGGCGCGACAGCGUGGGGAGCGAACAGG
rnacentral:rRNA from 1 species